rnacentral:rRNA from 1 species
AGCGAAUAGAUACCCCGGUAGUCCUAGCCGUAAACGAUGGAUACUAGGUGUAAGUGGUAUCGACCCCACUUGUGCCGCAGCUAAACGCAUUAAGUAUCCCGCCUGGGGAGUACGGCCGCAAGGUUGAAACUCACAGGAAUUGACGGGGGCCCGCACAAGCGGUGGAGCAUGUGGUUUAAUUCGUUACUAACCGAAGAACCUUACCCAGGCUUGACAUCCCCGGACAGCUUAUGAAAGUAAGCCUUCUCCCUCACAAGGGGAGACUGGGUGACAGGUGUUGCAUGGCUGUCGUCAGCUCGUGUCGUGAGAUGUUGGGUUAAGUCCCGCAACGAGCGCAACCCUCAUCGCAUGUUGCCAGCGUAAAGCCGGGCACUCUUGCGAAACUGCCCGUGUAAGCGGGA